UGGGAUUACCUAAACAAGAAGAGGGGAAGGGAAAGAGCUACUCUUUGCAAAUUAUUUCCUCAUUUUCUUUUCUCUGAAAAAUCUAAGUGGUCCGUGACUCAGAUGCUUUGAUGACUGUCAUGUGGUGAAAAAGCCAAGGGAACAAACCGCCAGGAGGCUAGUUGGUGAUAGAGAGGAACUACAGGCUGAAAAAAAAUCCUUAAACACAGAUGAAAAACAUGUCAUUUUGUUAUGAGAAGUGAAUUUACAGUGUUUUAAAACCCACAUAAUGUUAUAAGGACAGUUGCAACAAUGAUGCGUGUACUGUAUGCAGAUAAUGACAGUGUGGUACUCGUAGAGCCUUAAAGAUGUUCACGGAAAACCCAACAAUAGCUGGACCUAACCUGGACAAGACAGCGACAACCUCAAAUUGAAAGAUGGUUUAUUGUAAGCAAAAACCAACUGGAUGAUACCAACGCUGGAAAGCAGAAACAUUUCCAGGAAGCUGAGCCAGAACACCAAAAGAUCUACAAAUGGGGAAAAAAAGUCAAACUAAAAAUCUCUACACACACACACAAGACAGAACUCAACUCAAAGGAAUAAACUGAAUAUUGUAAACAAUUAGUUACAGCAAGCCAAAAAUAAUCCAAAUACGUUGACAAAUAACCAAGACCGCAAAUACCCCUGGAUUACAAUAGUACUUUUUUACAGCUUUGUUUAUUUUUAUGUUUCACUGUAUUUCACUUUUUGUUCAAUAAACAUCUUUCCUUCAGUACAAAUCUCCAGAUUUGUGCUACAACAUUUACCAAACUUUGUUUGAAGGAAUUCAACUGAAAUACUUUUUGCUUGUUGUUGAGAACUUGUCUCAUCUGUACACCUCCACACUCCAAACACUAAGAGGUAUUUGUCAGUCAAUUUUCAGCCCAGUAGGAAAUUUUACACUGAAUUUCAUUUUCA